rnacentral:rRNA from 1 species
UACAGAGGUCUCAAGCGUUGUUCGGAUUCAUUGGGCUUAAAGGGCGCGUAGGCGGCGGGGUAAGUCGGGUGUGAAAUCUCAGGGCUCAACCCUGAAACUGCACUCGAUACUGCUCUGCUUGAGGACUGGAGAGGAGACUGGAAUUCACGGUGUAGCAGUGAAAUGCGUAGAUAUCGUGAGGAAGACCAGUGGCGAAGGCGGGUCUCUGGACAGUUCCUGACGCUGAGGCGCGAAGGCCAGGGGAGCAAACGGG